AUGGAGAAACAAGGUAGAGAUGUGUUUACAUAUGAGGUGUUUGAGAAAUUUCAGAAAGAGAUUGUUGCAGCAAGAUACCAUUGUUGCAUCCAAGGCAUUGCACAAGAUGGAACACUAAAAAUAGUGACAUUGAGAGGUCGAUCCCAUAGGAUUAGGGAAGUUCAGUGUGACACCACAACCAUGAUAGCUCAUUGUUCAUGUAAGUUAUUUGAAACAAUUGGAAUCCCGUGCCGCCAUAUCAUGCAGGUGUUGAGGGCUGAAAAUCAAAAUGAACUUCCAUCGUACUACAUUAUGAAAAGAUGGAAGAAACGGUGCAAAAGGGAGAAUGUGUAUGAUGAGCAUGGGAAUUUAAUAGAAGAGAAGGCAACCGAUUCGUUGAAUGAAGCUACGAGGAAGAAGAUUUCAGUUGUACGCAACAAGUUGGAAGAUCUAAUUCAGAAGGCCAAGCACUCGGAUGAAGGCAUGGAUUUUCUAACAUCAAGUGUAUUAAAUAUUGAAGCACCUUUGGAUGAAAUGGUUCCCACAUCAGGUGUGAAGCACACUAGACAAGAUGAGUAUGAGGCUUUUAUUGGUUGCAAUAUUCCUACUGAAAUUGACAUACACCCGCCAACUGAUGUUCGCACGGUGGGGAGAUGCAAAAGAAUAAAGAGAGGAAAGGAAAUAAGUGAGGAGGAACAGAAAAAGAAGAAGAAGGAAGCCAAGGUAAAGGUUGCACGCUUGUGCAAGACGUGCAAACAAAUAGUUUUUCAUGAUAGUCGCAAUUGUCCUAGCAAAAAAGAAGGCAAAGGGGCUGAGAUUGUGCUGCAGAUGAAGCCAAGUGGUGCUCCGUGA
rnacentral:rRNA from 1 species